rnacentral:rRNA from 1 species
CCUACGGGUGGCAGCAGUGGGGAAUAUUGCACAAUGGGGGAAACCCUGAUGCGGCGACGCCGCGGGAGUGAAGAAGUAUUUCGGUAUGUAAAGCUCUGUCAGCAGGGAAGAAAAGGACGGUACCUGAACAAGAAGCCCCGGCUAAGCACGUGCCAGCAGCCGCGGUAAUACGUAGGGGGCAAGCGUUAUCCGGAUUUACUGGGUGGAAAGGGAGCGUAGACGGCAGGGCAAGUCUGGAGUGAAAGGCGGGGGCUCAACCCCCGGACUGCUCUGGAAACUGCCAGGCUGGAGUGCAGGUGAGGUAAGUGGAAUUCCUAGUGUAGCGGUGAAAUGCGUAGAUAUUAGGAGGAACACCAGGGGCGAAGGCGGCUUACUGGACUGUAACUGACGUUGAGGCUCGAAAGCGUGGGGAGCAAACAGGAUUAGAUACCCUAGUAGUC